UACGAAGGGGACUAGCGUUGUUCGGAAUUACUGGGCGUAAAGCGCACGUAGGCGGAUUUGUAAGUCAGGGGUGAAAUCCCGGGGCUCGAACCUCGGAACUGCCUUUGAUACUGCAAAUCUCGAGUCCGAUAGAGGUGGGUGGGAAUUCCUAGUGUAGAGGUGAAAUUCGUAGAUAUUAGGAAGAACACCGGUGGCGAAGGCGGCCCACUGGCCCGGUACUGACGCUGUAGAGCGAAAGCGUGGGGAGCGAACAGG
rnacentral:rRNA from 1 species